GUUACUACACUCAGAUUACUACACUCAGGUUACUACACUCAGAUUACUACACUCAGGUUACUACACUCAGGUUACUACACUCGGAUUACUACACUCGGAUUACUACACUCAGAUUACUACACUCAGAUUACUACACUCAGGUUACUACACUCAGAUUACUACACUCAGAUUACUACACUCGGGUUACUACACUCGGGUUACUACACUCAGGUUACUACACUCAGAUUACUACACUCAGGUUACUACACUCAGAUUACUACACUUUGUGAAUUAAAGCUGUAUUGACUUGUCUUAGUGCUAAACAAUAUACAUCUGUAACUGGUAUGCUACAAAUGAUCAAUAAUAAUCAUCUGAUUCAAAACAAAUGGCACCAAAAUGGCAUUGGAUUUCUUAUUAAUGUACAUAAAUCCUG
ensembl:lncRNA